rnacentral:rRNA from 1 species
GACGAACGCUGGCGGCGUGCUUAACACAUGCAAGUCGAACGGAAAGGCCCUGCUUUUGUGGGGUGCUCGAGUGGCGAACGGGUGAGUAACACGUGAGUAAACUGCCCUUGACUUUGGGAUAACUUCAGGAAACUGGGGCUAAUACCGGAUAGGAGCUCCUGCUGCAUGGUGGUGGUUGGAAAGUUUCGGCGGUUGGGGAUGGACUCGCGGCUUAUCAGCUUGUUGGUGGGGUAGUGGCUUACCAAGGCUUUGACGGGUAGCCGGCCUGAGAGGGUGACCGGCCACAUUGGGACUGAGAUACGGCCCAGACUCCUACGGGAGGCAGCAGUGGGGAAUAUUGCACAAUGGGCGGAAGCCUGAUGCAGCAACGCCGCGUGCGGGAUGACGGCCUUCGGGUUGUAAACCGCUUUCGCCUGUGACGAAGCGUGAGUGACGGUAAUGGGUAAAGAAGCACCGGCUAACUACGUG